rnacentral:rRNA from 1 species
GGACUACUAGGGUUUCUAAUCCUGUUCGCUCCCCACGCUUUCGUACCUCAGUGUCAGGAGUGGCCCAGCAAGCUGCCUUCGCCAUUGGUGUUCUUCGUAAUAUCUACGCAUUUCACUGCUACACUACGAGUUCCACUUGCCUCUGCCGUCCUCUAGUCUGCCAGUAUGAGACACAACGACAGGGUUGAGCCCCACGGUUUCACAUCUCACUUAACAGACCACCUACGCACGCUUUACGCCCAGUGAUUCCGGAUAACGCUUGGACCCUACGUAUUACCGCGGCUGCUGGCAC